GAUAGCUCAUUUGGUAGAGCAUGAGACUCUUAAUCCCAAGGUCGUAGGUUCGAGCCCCACAAAGGGUGUUGCA
rnacentral:tRNA from 1 species